rnacentral:sRNA from 1 species
GACGUCAACGCCGCCAAGAACAUUCUCGCGCUCGGGCAUGAGCGUCUAGCUGUAGGAAUCCCCGUCCUUUAGGGCGGGGAGGAUGUCAAUGCUUCAAUCC